UUAAUUCCCUCUUGCCGGAGAGGAGAAGCACGUCCAAACGACGGCGUGUGCUCAGCUCAUCUGUGACACAGAUGUAACACCAACGAGGAAAAGUGAACAGCAGAAAGGAAUAAUAACGGCAGAUGACACGGGGGGAUGCUCGGGCUGUGAUGGGCACUUGAAGAAGGAACAAGCAGACCUGGUGUCCGUGGGCUUUAUUCUCCCUUCGAUGCAUUAACACUGGCGGGAAUUAUCUGCAGAAGUCUCCCAGGCAUCAUUCGGAGCAGGGCAGCCCUCGCCGAGCUCUGCUCCCAGCCAGCGGCUUCUGGAGUGCAAACCAGACCCAGGGAGGGCAAGGAGCAUCUCCGGCUUCUGCUGCUCCGCCGCCACAGCGCUCGGCACCGCCUGGCACAGCACGGGGGAGCAGCCGCCUCAUUUAUCAGCCGGCGCUAAAUGAAGAUGCCGAAAUCCUGUUAGCAAAGCCGCUCGAAGCGAUUCGCCUCCGGAGCCGCUCCUCCGUUGAAGCGUCAGGACGAACCCGCGCGCGCAGAUGGUUUCUCCGUUCUUCCCCCGGCGAAACACCUGCGCUGCCGCCCCUGCGGCGGCCCCCGCUUCGCCUCGCCUGACCCACGGUGGAGAAGCCACUGCCACGAGGACUUGGGGACCUGUUCAGCUUGGGGAUGCCCCGAACCACCGGCCACCCUGGGGAUGGACCAAAACCACCCCCAAAGCCACGGCCAGGAGCAGCCACGUCCGCAGGCUGAGUCUCAGCGCUUCUGGAGGGGGGGACAAACUGGUCACCGGCAAAUUUACAGCCUUGAUGUACGCCCUUUCCAUCCAUGAUUGAAUAUCUGCAGAUCUGGCCGCUGCCUGGUCCGGGGCCGGCCGCUGCCGUGGGGCGGAGGGCAGAGCAUCAACCCUGCCCCUGCCCCAGCCCUUCCCCACAUCCAUCACAGCCCCCCCGCGAGGCGUUUAAUCACACAUGACCCGUGCCAGAGACCCAGCGCUGCCCCAGGACUUGCUGCAGGCAUGAUUCAACCCUGACGAUUUAUUUCCCUGCAUCCCAGCCGCUCCAGUCCCAGUCAUGCUGCUGCCGUCCCCUCUGCGCAGAGCGGAUCCCCCGGGGUGGGCGCUGCGGGGGGACCCCGGGCAGGUCCGUGCAGACCCUCCAACGGGCAUGAAAAUUCCCUCCCUCAAACACUUUUGACCCAAAAGCCAGAGGUUUGUGGGGCAGGAAGGAAUUCUCACCCUGGAGAAGCUGCUCGCUGAGGGCCGCAAGAAAGGGUUUGGUGAUGCCUGCUAUGGCAGCCCCCCCCCGGCACCACCGCGGCACAGCCCGGCACCCACGCCUGGGGCUCACCGGGCAGCUUGCAAGCUACCAACCGUGAAAGA